CAUAUAAAAGAGUUCACUUGGAGAUUCGAGCUGAAUGACAACACUGGAUAUUAUCCAACACUUUGGAAUACAAAACACGUGUGCCCACCACCUGUAACCAGCUAAACAAAGAAGGUCCUCUGUGCAUGGCACGUGCUCCUCGCCAAGAAACGACCUUAAGCUUUGUGUAUAUAAACUAUAUAUGUCACAUAUCCUAUCAAUCGAUCAUCACCGAACAAGUAGAGCUUCUGUUGGAUAAGAGUUGCAAAGAAGUAGAGAUCAGAGGAGUUGAAUAAAGGGGAAACGAGGACAUUGAAAAAUGGUGACGCCGGUCGGAAGGAACAUAGCAGCACCAUUGCUGCUCUUGAAUCUGGUUAUGUACCUUAUUGUACUUGGUUUCGCUAGUUGGUGUGUUAAUAAAUACAUCAACGGCCAGACCAACCACCCAAGUUUUGUAGGCAAUGGAGCAGCCCCCUUCUUCCUUACAUUCUCGAUCUUAGCAGCCGUUAUAGGGAUAGCGUCGAAGUUCGCCGGAGCUAACCGUAUUAGAUUCUUUUUUCUCUUUUUGGUAAUCCUGUUACCGCUCUUGCCAUGGGGUAAUGCAUCAUAUACGUAUAUAUUUACCAAAAGCA